ACAGGACAGAGUUUUGAGCCAUAAAUCAACAUUACAUAUGGGCAGCAGCAACGCCUAUGAUGUGAGCGGAACAACGCAGACUGAUGGAGGAGCAGGAGGAGCCAAUGGAACCGCUGCAACAAAGUCAGGAAUAGCUGUUGACCCAGGGACAACAACAUGGAGGGACCACAGAGCCAUGCCACCCAACACUCUGGAGAGGCCCCAUGCAGCGACCCACUAACCAGCCAACCAGCCAACCACAGCCCUGAACACUAACCGCACAACAUGACAAACGCACCACAGAAAACAGACAAUACCAGCAUGAAGGGGGACAAACCGUGCUCAACAUCCCAUCGAACAGGAACACUUGACUUUGUCCCAAACGGACAGAUGGAUGGAAAAGGAGAGGAAGGGUAGGAGGGAAAGCUGGCCUCGUUGUCUGCCAGCUGGAGCUACCAUCCACACCUUCUCCUCAUCACGACGGGCCUUCACUUAUCUGGAUAGAGGUUUAGAGGAGGAACCUUUUUCUUUUGAACUCUCUCUAACUUAUAGCUUGUAUUCUGAAUUUAUCUGACAUUUCUUUCCUUACCUCCAUAGUUUAAGUACACUGAUCACAUUCAAACAUGUACAACCGUCUGGAUUGAUUUCACCGUAAGGGUCUGAAAAUUUGCAAUCACAAACGCAAAACUUGGACUUGAGCUAUUAAAAGGGGUUGAUUACUUACUUGUCUAGUCUUUCAGCUAAUUUAACUCUGACUGGUGCUUACUCGUGGUGAUUUUUACAUUUGUGACUGGUAUGAUAGGACACCCUGCUCUCUUCAGGAUGCAGAUGAAUUAAGACCCAGUUAGGAAAUGACUACUUUCCACUGUGAAACAAACCUGGUACUAGGAGCUGAUCAGAUUACUGUCAUGUAGCUUUUCACUGAGUAUAACACAAUAUAAGACAGCAAUUUAAGGACCAAAACAGUCACUCUUAGUUUUUACUUCAGCAUUCUGGAAACUAUACUUUCUUGUUGACAGAACUUAAAGAUUCUCAUCCCAACCCAUAAAGCAGGACAUGGUAGCUUAACAUAAAGACUCUUGGUUUUUAAUUUAACCAGAAAAAGUUUCCUUGAGAUAAAGAACGUCUUUAAAAAGACCAAGACAGGUAGCAGCACAAAUGAACAGGUUACAGACAUCCAUCCGUUUCCUUCUGCUUAUCCAAGUUUGGGUUGCAGCAGGCUAAGUAAGGCCUUCCAGGUAUCCUUCUCUAUGGAGAUGUUUUCCGGUUCAUCCUGGUGGAUCCUGAGGUGUUCAUAGGCCAGAUGAGACAUAUAAUCCCUCCAGCAACUUCUGGGUCUACCCUGAAACAUCUCCCAGUCGGAUGUGACCACAAAACCUCCAAAGGAAGGACUCAGAUGCCAAAACCACCUCAGCUGGCGCCUUUUCACAACAAUUACUCAAAGGCCCUCUGAAUAUCUGAGCUCCUCAUCCCAUCUCUGAGGCUGAGUCCAACCACCUGAUGAAGCAAACCCAUUCAGCUGUUUGUGUUUGCCAUCUCAUUCACUACCCAAAGGUCAUGACCACUGGUACAGGUUGGAAUGUGGACAGACAAUCAGCAAAUCAAGAGGUUCCUCUUCACCACAAUACCAAGAUAUAUACCUGAUUACAGUGUUGUGACCACUUCUUGGCCUGCAGUAACUUCCUGGAGUCUCAUCGUUACAACAUUGUUGAUGAAGAAGUCAUUGAACCCAACCAAAAACACAAAACUCUUUGUAAACUCAACUCCUCCUGCAUUUACUCCUGGGAUUUAACACAGAAGACUUAACUAAGCUAAGCUAAGCAGCUGUUGAUUUUAGCUGGGGUUUUUUUGUUUGUUUAACCGACUGGUAUCAGUAUUGCCAUCUAACUUUUGGCAAGAAAACUACAUUCUUGCUUUGCAAAAAUGUCAAACUGGUGCCUUUUCAUGUUCAGAUGCAUGCAGUGGAGUUUUGGGUAGAAGAUAGAGGAAGAUACUGUUGGUUCUGUGCUGUUUGUGUUGAUAUUGGGAUUUUUCUGACCUUUUAUUUCCAAUGAAGGGAUUUCAGUUUUUAUUUGUUCUUUUUUAUCUCUCUCUUUUUGUUCUGGUCAGUGUGAACAAAGUGUGCACUAUACUGUUACCUUUAUUCUACACAAACUGAGCGAUGGUGAUAAGACAGGAGUGGCAGGACUGAAAGAGAACUAAAGGUCUCAAGGCCUAAAGCAGGGUGGAGUCGUCAUUCUUGUAAUGCCUGUUGUCAUGCCAUCCGUUGCCAUAUUCUCCACUGAACUGCUUAAAUAAAACACACCCAAGAGAGGCAACAAUGAAGUCAGUGAUACUGCUUUUCUUGCUACUGUACACUAAAAACCCAUGAAGCCUUUUAUGUCAGCUUCUUUUGACAAGCAAAAAAAACUCACGUCGCCAGCUUGAGUUUAGACAGUUUUGGUUUACUUCAUAUGAGGUAUUCUGCAUUUGUGUUUUCACUGGAUUCUCACUGGUAAAAAGUGGGCGAGGAUCAGCGGGGAAAAGUGAUGUCGCAUAUUUUGGUGGAAUCUGAUGAAACCAGCAGCAAACUGUAAAAUACAGACCAAAAAAAACAAACCUGCAGUUCCUUAAAUGACCACAUGGGGCUGGUUCUAAAGGUGAGUCAGAGCCCAUAAACAGACUUUACAGCACAAAUAAAUAAUUUCACAGCCUGGUAGGAAAAAAAGGCUUUAGUCUGUAUAAUUACCCCAUCCAGG
ensembl:lncRNA